UACGUAGGGACCAAGCGUUGUUCGGAUUUACUGGGCGUAAAGGGCGCGUAGGCGGCCUAGCAAGUCACUUGUGAAAUCUCCGGGCUUAACUCGGAACUGCCAAGUGAAACUGCUGGGCUAGAGUGCAGAAGGGGCAAUCGGAAUUCUUGGUGUAGCGGUGAAAUGCGUAGAUAUCAAGAGGAACACCUGAGGUGAAGACGGGUUGCUGGGCUGACACUGACGCUGAGGCGCGAAAGCCAGGGGAGCGAACGGG
rnacentral:rRNA from 1 species